UUUUUGGAGAGUUUGAUCCUGGCUCAGGAUGAACGCUGGCGGCAUGCCUAAGACAUGCAAGUCGAACGAAGUGGUUCGAUGAAUAUUUUAUGCUUGCAUAGGAUAUGAUUCGAGUUUCCACUUAGUGGCAGACGGGUGAGUAAUACAUAGGUAACCUGCCUUAGAGACUGGGAUAGCAAUUAGAAAUGGUUGGUAAUACCGGAUAAUAUAUAGAUAGAUAACUAUCUAUAUUAAAAGGAGCUUCGGCUCCACUUUAAGAUGGGCCUAUGCUGUAUUAGCUAGUUGGUGAGGUAAUGGCUUACCAAGGCAACGAUGCAUAUCCGAGCUGAGAGGCUGAACGGACACACUGGGACUGAGACACGGCCCAGACUCCUACGGGAGACAGCAGUUAGGAAUAUUCGACAAUGGGGGGAACCCUGAUCGAGCAAUGCCGCGUGAGCGAAGACGGUCGUAAGAUUGUAAAGCUCUGUUAUAGAGGAAGAACAACUAUUAUAGGAAAUGAUGAUAGUCUGACGGUACUCUAUCAGAAAGCCCCGGCUAACUACGUGCCAGCAGCCGCGGUAAUACGUAGGGGGCGAGCGUUAUCCGGAUUUAUUGGGCGUAAAGCGUGUGUAGGCGGUUUAUUAAGUUUAAGAUCAAAGCCCGGGGCUCAACUCCGGUUCGUCUUAAAAACUGGUAAACUUGAGUGUAGUAGAGGCAAGUGGAAUUUCUAGUGUAGCGGUUAAAUGCGUAGAUAUUAGAAGGAACACCAGUGGCGAAGGCGACUUGCUGGGCUAUUACUGACGCUGAGGCACGAAAGCGUGGGGAGCAAAUAGGAUUAGAUACCCUAGUAGUCCACGCCGUAAACGAUGAGUACUAAGUGUCGGGAAACCGGUGCUGAAGUUAACACAUUAAGUACUCCGCCUGAGUAGUACGGUCGCAAGGCUGAAACUUAAAGGAAUUGACGGGCACCCGCACAAGCGGUGGAGCAUGCUGUUUAAUUCGAAGCUACGCGAAGAACCUUACCUAGGCUUGACAUCCCCGGCGAAGCUAUAGAAAUAUAGUGGAGGUUACCCGGGUGACAGGUGGUGCAUGGUUGUCGUCAGCUCGUGUCGUGAGAUGUUCGGUUAAGUCCGAUAACGAGCGCAACCCUCGUCACUAGUUACUAACAUUAAGUUGAGGACUUUAGUGAGACUGCCGGUGAUAAACCGGAGGAAGGUGGGGAUGACGUCAAAUCAUCAUGCCCCUUAUGUCUAGGGCUACAGGCGUGCUACAAUGGCCAUUACAAUGAGAUGCGAUAUCGUAAGAUGGAGCAAAUCUUUAAAGAUGGUCCCAGUUCGGAUUGGAGUCUGCAACUCGACUCCAUGAAGUUGGAAUCGCUAGUAAUCCUAAAUCAGAAUGUUAGGGUGAAUACGUUCCCGGGUGUUGUACACACCGCCCGUCACGCCACGAGAGUCUGUAAUACCCGAAGUUGGUAGCCUAACCUUUUAGGAGGGGGCCAACGAAGGCAGGAUAGGCGAUUGGGGUGAAGUCGUAACAAGGUAUCCCUACCGGAAGGUGGGGAUGGAUCACCUCCUUUCUAUGGAGA
rnacentral:rRNA from 1 species